GGGUGAUCGCAUCGUACAGGUGCGACAGGAUGCGCGAUGGUCGGGCCGCCACG
rnacentral:ncRNA from 2 species